AGAAGGUAUCAGUGCUUUCCUGACUGUGUCCUUCUGGUUUCCAGGACUUCCUCUGGGACAAUGAAAUGACAAGUGGCUGACAGCUAUCACAGAGACAGUAUUUUAUUUGUGAUGGAAAAUACUAUGUGCCAGAACUCGCUUUGGAGACAACAGAAAUAUUGUUGUAUACGGUUUCAUGAAGCAUUGAUGGUCUGUAGAGAAGCUAUGCAAAACUCAAAGCCCAACUCGUGUUGCUAUGUGUGCUUUACUCCAUAUCAAAAGAAAAGCUUAGUCAAGACCUAUAGUUAUAACUCUUACCCAGUUCCUGCAGCAGCAUGUAACCUACAGAAUUCAGUUGAUGCAGUCUGAACAAAAUGUUGGCAAACUAGAAAAUUUGGACAAGACUUUGAGGAAAGUUUAUUGAAAAAAUACCCCUGUGACCAAAGUCCUCACCUGCUGCGUAGCUGGGAGCCCGACUGUGAUAGUGAAGGAGAAGGACUGUGUGGUGUGGGAGAAGGUGCGGUGGUGGUCUGCACAGAACCAGCUGAAGAAGGAGGGGGGAUGCUGGAAGAUGGAUUCCGCAUGUAGGCACGGUUCGACGUGGACACCAGCUGAGGAGGGGGGCGACUAAAGUCUUGAACAGAGGAAGAAGCACGGACUCCUGAAGGCUGAUUGAACCAAGGGGAUGGUUUCCAAGAACUGGAUCUUGGGGAAUCCAGGUUAUCUAGAGAUUCACCUCUGAAACAUAGAAGAGUUCACGGAGACUAUUUAAUACUAUGUAACCAACUAGAAUCAAUUUAUCAUUAUAGUCAUUAAAAUACCCGUUCUAUGUAUUUCAUAAGUAGGUACUAAUCUGACAAGUCCAGUUACAUACAAAAUUACCUUU